rnacentral:lncRNA from 1 species
GGCUGCUGCUGAUAUACAUAUGCAAAGAAGGGUGGCCAGCUGAUACGCAUACAAGAGGACGGAGGCUGAAAGUGAAAUUGAUUAUAGGAUCAUGCUAUACUUACAAACUUUUUUUGCAAAAUUCUUUACUUACUAUUCAUAAUAGGAAGUGGGGAUCAUGAGCCGACAUUUUUUUAAUUCACAUGGAGGCCGUUUGUUUGUGAGAGUAAGUAACCUAUUUUCUACACAUUUGUUUAUACAUAUAUAUUUAUCCUUGAUUUUAUAUACACAGGAAACAGAGGCAGAUUGAUGAUUUAUAUGCAUGUAUAAAGAAGUUUUUCUUGGGAGUCAAACAUGGAGGUUGGAAUUGGAAUAUUCAAUUGAAAAACUCGAUGGCUGCAAUGUGAUAUACAAGCAAACGGGGCUGAAUGAUAUAUACACGAAGACACGCAGACAGAGGAGGAAAAGAAGAAGGAAUAAGACGGUGACAAUACAAAAUUGAGCGGUAAAUAAUCACAUUCCGUUGAUAUUUGGUGAUGUCUUUUAUACUUUCUUUGAUUAAUUCUAAUAUUAUGCUCGACUAAAUUAUUUUGUACUAAGAUUUUCG